rnacentral:rRNA from 1 species
GAUGAACGCUGGCGGCGUGCUUAACACAUGCAAGUCGAACGAAGCAUUUAGAACGGAUUACUUCGGUUUGAAGUUCUUUAUGACUGAGUGGCGGACGGGUGAGUAACGCGUGGGUAACCUGCCUUGUACUGGGGGAUAGCAGCUGGAAACGGCUGGUAAUCCCGCCUAAGCGCACAAUGUUGCAUGACAUGGUGUGAAGAACUCCGGUGGUAUAAGGUGGACCCGCGUCUGAUUAGCUAGUUGGUGAGAUAACAGCCGACCAAGGCGACGAUCAGUAGCCGACCUGAGAGGGUGACCGGCCACAUUGGGACUGCGACACGGGCCAGGCUCCUACGGGAGGCAGCGGUGGGGAAUAUUGCACAAUGGAGGAAACUCUGAUGCAGCGACGCCGCGUGAGUGAAGAAGUAAUUCGUUAUGUAAAGCUCUAUCAGCAGGGAAGAUAGUGACGGUACCUGACUAAGAAGCUCCGGCUAAAUACGUGCCAGCCGCCGCGGUAA